AAUAAAAUAAAUACAAAAGAUGGUUGCUGAAGAACGGGAAAAGCGAAUUUAAAAAGAAAUAACAAAGCAGGAGUAGCUCCAGUACUUCACACAGUUGGCAAUCCACAACUUGGAGCAAAAGUUUGUAUGGAAAUGAAAUCCUGUGCUUGCUCUAACUCUUCCGAAACUGCCGCAAAAACAAGCAAUAACUCCGCCAUUACUGAAUAUACUUUUAGUUAAAAAAAAAAACUUAACACAGACACUGAUAGCGAACGAAAAUUAACAAAACAUUAUUCAAUUGCUCAAUAAAAAUCGGCUGUUUUUCUCUUGUGAGGGUAUCAUUCGUACAUCAUAAAUUUCCUGACAA